rnacentral:lncRNA from 1 species
AGUUCUCAAGGACUAGCCUUCUGAUCUUGUAAGACCUAAAGCCCUCUUUACCAGCUAACUAAUCCCCCCUAAACACUAUCUACCUACCCUGUCACUAAGGAAUCUUAUCUCUUAAAAUAUAUAUAUAAUCUUGCCUCUGCACAGAGUAACCUGGUAAACCCAAAGAUGUCAGGGCCUACCAACUGGCUUGGCAGUGAGGUGACACCUCAAAAUGCCAGCACACCAAAAUCUGGAUCCUCUUACUCCUUCUUCCUUGAAGUAUUCCCCUUCAUGGUUGAUGAUAUCAGUAGUAAGGAACCAGAAAACCAUUGAAGGUAGUCAGGAACCCUUCCAGACCAGAGAUGACCCAGGAAAGAUUCUCAAAGUCCUCAAAACUAGCUCAAGGACUUUGCUGUCACUAAGAGGUCUUUCCUAGCAAUCAGUGAUGUUCUCUCCGAAGAAUUGACAGUGAGAACAAAACUAGGUUCAAAUCUAUUCAGCUCAGAGAAACCUCUGAGCAAAUCCAAAAGCAGUCUAGACUAGGUCAGUAACCAAAUCCAACUUUCUUCCAGCUCCCUGAGUGUUCUCAACUGCCAGCAUAAGAAUUUCAUCUAAAUGCCCCAUGUUCCAAACUCCUGGUCAUGCCAUGUCACUCAUGCAUGAAGCCUUAAAGGCACCUGCUCCAGUCCUGGCCUCCUGUCUUCUGAAACUGAUCCAUCUGCCUUUGAAUUUAAUGGGAGCUCUGCCCUUAGCUCAGCAUCACAGAGCUGGGAGCAAACCUGAUAAUGAGCCCUGGGUGGUUAGUCCAUUUGCCUCUGUUGUGCUGCCUUCCAAAGCUAACUGUAGCCAAAGUACUUUAUUUGCUGGUGAGCUCAAAGUCAUCAAGUGAUAGAAAGGAGCAAGGCCUGCUCUCGUUUUGCCUUACUUGGUUUAUUUUGUGAUGUGAAUUCAUUGUGAACCCAAAUAUGAAAUCUCCACCCUUAACUAUUUUUCCUAGAGUGUAUUUAAAUUUGAAAUUACUUGCAUCACUUUAUAAAGAAGACUAACACAUUUUCAAAUGUACGGUCUAAUGACUACAAUAAUGUCCAACUUCAUUAUAACCAGCAAUUAUAGUAUGUACAACAAGGGAUUAUGUUCAAUUCACUUUUAUGGAUUUACUUUAAUUUUUGCAUUUACUGAAACAUAACUUUCCUCUAGCAGAGGCUAGAGACAAACACAAUUUUCCCUCACCUUCAAAUUGCUAGUAAAAUAUUAAGUAGCAAACACUUAAGACGAUACAUUUUAAAGGUUUUUCUUGUUUUCUUUUCUUUUUCUUUUUUCUUUUUUGCCCUGGGAUGUAACUGUUAAAUUGGAUAUAAAAACAAAAUAUAAGAGCUU